CUUGUACUCCCUCCGUCCGAAAAUACUUGUCAUUGAAAUGGAUGUAUCUAGAUGUAUUUUAGUUCUAGACACAUCCAUUUUGAUGACAAGUAAUUCCGGAUGGAGGGAGUACUUG
rfam:Triticum aestivum genome assembly, contig: Triticum_aestivum_CS42_TGACv1_scaffold_220686_3B